ensembl:snoRNA C50C3.13 ncRNA
GCGGAUAUUAUAAACAGAUUCCUAUAAAUUUACAAGGUAGUCAGUAGCCGAAAUUCGCAAUAUAAAUUUUCCAUUAAAGGCGAGAAAUCAUCCUUUUUGUCGGUGAUAUCUAGAAAUAAAACUGGAGACAAUU